CAGCCACGCCGCGUGGGGGAUGAAGGUCUUCGGAUUGUAAACCCCUUUCGGGAGGGAAGAUGGAGCGAGCAAUCGUUCGGACGGUACCUCCAGAAUCAGCCACAGCCAACUUCGUGCCACCAGCCGCGGUAAUACGAAGGUGGCAAGCGUUGUUCGGAUUCACUGGGCGUACAGGGUGUGUAUGGCGGUUUGGUAAGCCUUCUGUUAAACGCUUCGGGCCCAACCCGGAAAGCGCAGAGGGUACUGCCAGGCUAGAGGGUGGGAGAGGAGCGCGGAAUUCCCGGUGUAGCGGUGAAAUGCGUAGAGAUCGGGAGGAAGGCCGGUGGCGAACGCGGCGCUCUGGAACAUACCUGACGCUGAGACACGAAAGCGUGGGGAGCAAACAGGAUUAGAUACCCUGGUAGUCCACGCCCUAAACUAUGGAUACUAAGUGUCGGCGGGUUACCGCCGGUGCCGCAGCUAACGCAUUAAGUAUCCCGCCUGGGAAGUACGGCCGCAGGGG
rnacentral:rRNA from 1 species